rnacentral:rRNA from 1 species
CGAACGCUGGCGGCGUGCUUAACACAUGCACGUCGAACGGAAAGGCCCUGCUUUUGUGGGGUGCUCGAGUGGCGAACGGGUGAGUAACACGUGAGUAACCUGCCCUUGACUUUGGGAUAACUUCAGGAAACUGGGGCUAAUACCGGAUAGGAGCUCCUGCUGCAUGGUGGGGGUUGGAAAGUUUCGGCGGUUGGGGAUGGACUCGCGGCUUAUCAGCUUGUUGGUGGGGUAGUGGCUUACCAAGGCUUUGACGGGUAGCCGGCCUGAGAGGGUGACCGGCCCCAAUGGGAGUGAGAGAAGGCCCAGGCCCCCAUCGGGGGGAAGAGGGGGGAAAAUUUGACAAGGGGCGGGAGGCUGGAGGAAGAAACCCGGGGGGGGGGAGGGGGGCUUUGGGGUGGAAACCCGUUUUCCCUGGUAAGGAAGGGGAGGGACGGGAAAGGGGUAAAGAGCCCCGGCUAACCUAGUG